rnacentral:rRNA from 1 species
ACUCCUACGGGAGGCAGCAGUGAGGAAUAUUGGUCAAUGGGCGAGAGCCUGAACCAGCCAAGUAGCGUGCAGGAUGACGGCCCUAUGGGUUGUAAACUGCUUUUAUGCGGGGAUAACGUGCGCCACGCGUGGUGUAUUGCAGGUACCGCAUGAAUAAGGACCGGCUAAUUCCGUGCCAGCAGCCGCGGUAAUACGGAAGGUCCGGGCGUUAUCCGGAUUUAUUGGGUUUAAAGGGAGCGUAGGCCGCUG